CCCACAAAAAAACUCCCUAUCUACUCAAAUUACAAACUCGUGAUUUUAAGAAAGGAGAGGUUCUUGAAAUUUGGGUUACAUUUCAGUUUAGUUAGAACUAGCUUGGCUAAAGCUAUGGACACCCCCCCUGUACUUUUUAAAGGGGAAGUGUAUUUUAAUAUUUCAUUCAGUUUAAGUGCAACUUACGGACGGCUAUUUGUUUAUAACAAUAUUGGUUUUAGAGAGAUCAAAAUGAUUAUUCCAGUAUACGACAGUUCAGAGGAAGAGAUUGGCUCAAGUACAGGGGUUCCUGGGCCUAGUACAAUGAAACCGAGUAUUAGCUCAUCUAGUGGCAUGCCCUAUAUAAUUCCGGAAAUUUCUGUAAAGUUGGCCGAUGUUGAUUUUCUUAAGGGGGUUGAUGUUGACUUCUGGUUGAUGUUGGGUUUUAUCUUUGCCGGAUUAUGGUUGGGUUUCAGGGCCCUUGAGAUUAUGAAAGGUAAUUAUUUCUAUCUUCGGAUCUGUUUUCGCCGAGUUCUUCGUUGUAUGUAAUGAAUAUCCAGAGACAAACACAGAGAACUCAAUCCAAACAAAACCAAAACCCGGGGUAGUUUAAUUCCACGUAUAAGGGGGGAGUCUGUGCUAAACAUCUGAGUAAUUAAUAUGUUGCUUUAGGGUGCUUGGCUGGCUGCCCGAGGGGUAGGCGGGGAAGGGGUGGAAGGGUUGGGGGAGAUAUAGUUCGUGCUAGACAUUCAUCCGGGGCAACUACAGCUUCAUGGAAUGAGGGGAGGAAUAAUGCUGGUUUUGAAGAGGUGGAAUUGCAAGCUAUUUCUCCAAGAUCCAGUCGACGGGGCGAUGAGGGUUUCAUUCGACUAACAAAUUAGCACGUGGAUAUUACUGCGCCAACAUGUGGAAUGUGGGGCGCGGUUUUAUACCUGACGCUGGUAGGAUUGAGCCAGGCGGGGAGUUCAGUUGCCCUAGAUCCAUAUCAUCGGCCGGGCUUUCACUUCUGAGAGACAUCUUGUACAGUGAAAACCUGGAGCAGUGGAACGGUUUAUGAAGUCAAACUUGCAGCAGGAGGAUUGUUGUCAGAGACACUACCCAACCUGAUGUACAUAUAUGUACAGUAUAAGGUUUACCUGGAUUAGCGGAUGAUUUAGAGGUUUGUGAAUCCGCUGGCAAUUUGUUGCUGAUGACGUUUGACAGUUUAAUCCUGAUGUACAGUGUCCAAGAGCCGUUAAAUGAGGUGUAAUUAAAACCAAGCUGUAACCUUUAUCUAGCAGCAAGGUGUAGUUCCAGGUAUAAUGACCAAUGCCAAAUUUUUCUUUAAUUGGCUUUUUAUUAUUUUAUUUAUGGCUCUCUUGGCCGUGUGCAACUGUAGCUAUGGGGCAAAUUUUUUAUCUAUAUUCGGCUCAAUUUAGUUAUCUCGGGGUUUACCUGGAAAAUUUAGUUCCUAAAGAUAAGUUCUGACAACGUAUGUAAACACAGAUGGAAAUGUUAAGAUGUACGGGAUUGAUUCAAAUUAAAAUAAGACGGAAGUUAUCUUUAAUGUAGCAAAGGUUGAACACAUUUGAGGUGAUUUUAGAGAGGGGAAGAACUACCUUGAAUUAAAUUCAAACGAAAUUUUUAAAUUUGUUU